rnacentral:hammerhead_ribozyme from 1 species
AUCCCGCUGACGAGUCCCGAAUAGGACAAUUCGCGCGUCCUGGAU